rnacentral:rRNA from 1 species
UACGUAGGGGGCGAGCGUUGUCCGGAUUUAUUGGGCGUAACGAGCUCGUAGGCGGUUGGGUAAGUCGGGUGUGAAAACUCAGGGCUCAACUCUGAGACGCCACUCGAUACUGCCCUGACUCGAGUCCGGUAGGGGAGCGUGGAAUUCCCGGUGUAGCGGUGGAAUGCGCAGAUAUCGGGAGGAACACCAGUGGCGAAGGCGACUACCUGGACAAUUGCUGACACUCAGGCACGAAAGCAUGGGGAGCAAAAGGG